rnacentral:rRNA from 1 species
AAUAAACGUUGGCGGCGUGCCUAACACAUGCAAGUCGAGCGAGAAAGGGCUUCGGCCUGAGUACAGCGGCGGACGGGUGAGUAACGCGUAGGGAUCUGCCUUUCAGUGAAGAAUACUCUCGAGAAAUCGAGGUUAAUACUGCAUACGUCUAGAAAUAGAGAAAGAUGGCCUCUUUGCUGUCGCUGAAAGAUGAACCUGCGUACUAUUAGCUAGUUGGUAGGGUAAGAGCCUACCAAGGCAAUGAUGGUUAACCGGCCUGAGAGGGUGUACGGUCACACUGGAACUGAGACACGGUCCAGACUCCUACGGGAGGCAGCAGUGAGGAAUAUUGCGCAAUGGGCGAAAGCCUGACGCAGCGACGCCGCGUGGAGGAUGAAGGUCUUUGGAUUGUAAACUUCUGUUAAGUGGGAAGAAAUGUUGAAGGUUAAUACCCUUCGAAGAUGACGGUACCAUUAAAGAAAGCACCGGCUAAACUCGUGCCAGCAGCCGCGGUAAAGUCGA